UGUGUCAAAGGAGAAUCAUUGCCCGGAUGAUUUUUUUACAAAGUCCGGAAGUGAAAAAUUUGACUUUUCUACGCCAGAAGUUACAGCUAAUGUUCCUAAGACAAACCAGGCUUUCCUGAGUUCUGAUCUGGACAUUUCAGUUAUUGACUCUGACGUAGAAGGUAGAAAUACAAGCUCUCUUUUGGGGUAAAUAUGUAUUUCUCUAUGCCAAAAUUAAAAUGUCAUCAUUUAUGUUUUUCUUUUAUGGUGUUACAUUAUGUUGUUUACAUACUGAUAGCUAUUAAAACUGUUAAAUAUAAUAUUGUAGCUAUCAAAAAGAGGGGGAUGAAUUUGAUUUGUACCAAAUUUGGACGUUUUGCAUGAAAGAACUUGAAAAUAAAAGAUUUUUUUAAAAAUAUA
rnacentral:lncRNA from 1 species